rnacentral:rRNA from 1 species
UACGUAGGGGGCUAGCGUUGUCCGGAUUUAUUGGGCGUAAAGAGCGUGUAGGCGGCCAAGUAAGUCCGGUGUGAAAACUCGAGGCUUAACCUCGAGAUGUCGUCGGAAACUAUUUGGCUAGAGUCCGGAAGAGGAGAGUGGAAUUCCUGGUGUAGCGGUGAAAUGCGCAGAUAUCAGGAAGAACACCUAUGGCGAGAGCAGCUCUCUGGGACGGUACUGACGCUGAGACGCGAAAGCGUGGGGAGCGAACAGG